UACGUAGGGGGCGAGCGUUGUCCGGAUUCAUUGGGCGUAAAGAGCUCGUAGGCGGCUUGGCAAGUCGGGUGUGGAAACUCCAGGCUCAACCUGGAGACGCCACCCGAUACUGCCAUGGCUUGAGUCCGGUAGGGGACCACGGAAUUCCUGGUGUAGCGGUGAAAUGCGCAGAUAUCAGGAGGAACACCGGUGGCGAAGGCGGUGGUCUGGGCCGGUACUGACGCUGAGGAGCGAAAGCGUGGGGAGCGAACAGG
rnacentral:rRNA from 1 species